AUUGAACGCUGGCGGCAUGCUUUACACAUGCAAGUCGGACGGCAGCACAGAGAAGCUUGCUUCUUGGGUGGCGAGUGGCGAACGGGUGAGUAAUAUAUCGGAACGUACCGAGUAAUGGGGGAUAACUAAUCGCUAGAUUAGCUAAUACCGCAUAUUCUCUGAGGAGGAAAGCAGGGGACCUUCGGGCCUUGCGUUAUUCGAGCGGCCGAUAUCUGAUUAGCUAGUUGGUGGGGUAAAGGCCUACCAAGGCGACGAUCAGUAGCGGGUCUGAGAGGAUGAUCCGCCACACUGGGACUUAGACACGGCCCAGACGCCUACGGGAGGCCGCAGAGGGGAAUUUUGGACAAUGGGCGCAAGCCUGAUCCAGCCAUGCCGCGUGUCUGAAGAAGGCCUUCGGGUUGUAAAGGACUUUUGUCAGGGAAGAAAAGGCUGUUGCUAAUAUCGACAGCUGAUGACGGUACCUGAAGAAUAAGCACCGGCUAACUACGUG
rnacentral:rRNA from 1 species